AUCGAUUCAAAUUGGGAGUCAACGUAUAUGAAUAUUACGAAAGUUAUCGAAAAGUCCGAGGCAAUUCCACGAGACUUCAGGAUCAAGAGACCAAAUAUCCAAUCAGACUAAAGUCCUUCCACCGACUGUGUAUGGACAAGACAACCAAGUUUUAAACUUACAGCAAUCAAUUUGUUUAGUUUUAAUAAUUUUUCUUAAAUAGUAUGAAUUUUAAAAAUAAUAAUUAGAAUAAAACUAGGUAUAGCAUUUAAGGCAAACUACUAAAAUAUUUUCUUGUAUCAAAGCAAAAAUUUAUUGAACCUUUCAACCUAUGCAUAUUUAGGUAGAUGUGUAAAAUACUACGAAAAUUAAUAAAUACAUAAUAAAUAACACAAAUAUUACUAAACUCAUCACAAAUGGAUUUAUCUAUCUAGAUGUAAAUCUGUCUUCUGUUCACAAUUUCAAUACUUUCUCAAAAUGUACGUAUAUCUUCUUCGUUAGAUGAUAAACAUCACAUAAUUAAAGUACAUCUAUUUGCUUCCUAUUAUAAAUUUUCGAAGAAAUAUGUUGACCUUGGUAAAGACAGUUUAUUAAAUUACUUUUCUCGUUUUAGUCGGAGAUAAAGGGAGUAUUCAAUCGAUAUUGAGCUACAGACAUCUGUAUAUAUAAAAGGCAGGAUGUGUGUGUGUGUGUGUGUGUGUGUGUGUGUGUGUGUGUGUUUACGUGAAUGUAAUUUAUGCACGUCCACAAAUUAGCACACAUGUCGCUCCAGUUUUAGGACAUUCGUCAUGGCUCUAGCUGUAUUUUCAUGAACUUAUUUUUCCCAGAGGCACCAGCGAAUAACAGUAAAAAUUAAUUUUCAACCAAAACUUUUAACAAUUUUCAAGUCGGAGAAAUCACCACUGUUUACAAACAGGAGUUACAUUCCCUUCUAGCGACGAGUAAGUUUUUGUUAAGAGUU